rnacentral:rRNA from 1 species
AGAACGAACGCUGGCGGCAGGCUUAACACAUGCAAGUCGAACGCACCGCAAGGUGAGUGGCGGACGGGUGAGUAACGCGUGGGAACGUGCCCUGAGGUUGGGAGUAACUGCGGGAAACUGCAGCUAAAUACCCGAUAAGCCCCUAGCAAUAGGGGGAAAGAUUUAUCGCCUUAGGAGCGGCCCGCGUCGGAUUAGCUAGUUGGUGGGGUAACGGCCUACCAAGGCUUCGAUCCGUAGCUGGUCUGAGAGGACGAUCAGCCACACUGGGACUGAGACACGGCCCAGACUCCUACGGGAGGCAGCAGUGGGAAUCUUGCGCAAUGGCGAAAGCCUGACGCAGCCAUGCCGCGUGAACGAUGAAGGCCUUAGGGUUGUAAAGUUCUUUUACCCGUGACGAUGAUGACGGUAACGGGAGAAUAAGCUCCGGCUAACUUCGUGCCAGCAGCCGC